ACUUAGCUUUUCCUUGUUGCUUUGAUUCCGGCAUUGUGUUUUAUUAAGUACAACCGUAUACUCGACAUUUAUACUCCACCAUUUACAUCUGGAAUCUCACGAACCCUAGAUUUUCAAUUCUAUAUCCCCUUUCGAGAUUCCUAUGUCUAUGCUUGUAUUUCUCAAGUGUUCUAGCUGAGGACAGCCUAUUUAUUCCGAAUUAGAUGCUUUGCCACCGCGCUACGCAAGUUUGUUUAGGUUGACCAAUUUUGAAUUAGUCAGAUUGUUGAAAACGGUUAAUCCUUUGGGGAUGAAGGUAAAGAAUACGCUUCUGGUGAUUUUGCUUGUUGCCUCAGUAAUUUCUUGUCGUGUAGCUGCAGAUUCGGAGGAGGAAGUUGCAGGCUCGAAAAAUUGGCAAGUGUUAGUUGAUGGUAGUGAUGAUAGAGUGAAGGAGUUAGCUGAUCUUACAAAGAAUAAUGCUGUUAAGUUAGAUAAUACUCCCUCCGUCCCGAAUAUUUGUCUCACUUUGACCGGGCACGGGUUUUAAGAAAUUUAAUGAAAAGUGAGUUGAAAAAGUUAUCGGAACGUACUUUUAUAUAUUAAUUUUAUAAUAAAA